AGCUCCAAUAGCGUAUAUUAAAGUUGUUGCAGUUAAAAAGCUCGUAGUUGAAUUUCUGUCUGGUAAGAGUGCGUCAAUCGACAUAUCUCGAUACCAGACAUCUUUCUGCACUUCUACCUCUGGUAGUUGUCGCAGAACCUUUACUUUGAGAAAAUUAGAGUGUUUCAAGCAAGCGUUUGCUUUUGAAUACUACAGCAUGGAAUAAUAUUAUAGGACUUUGGUGCCUAUUUGUUGGUUUCUGGGCCUAAGGUAAUGAUUAAUAGGGACAGUUGGGGGUAUUCGUAUUUGUCAGUCAGAGGUGAAAUUCGUAGAUUUGACAAAGACGAACUACUGCGAAAGCAUUUACCAAGGAUGUUUUCA
rnacentral:rRNA from 1 species